rnacentral:rRNA from 1 species
GUGGGGAAUAUUGCGCAAUGGGGGAAACCCUGACGCAGCAACGCCGCGUGAGUGAUGAAGGCUUUCGAGUCGUAAAACUCUGUCUUUGGGGACGAAUAAUGACGGUACCCAAGGAGGAAGCCCCGGCUAACUACGUGCCAGCAGCCGCGGUAAUACGUAGGGGGCAAGCGUUGUCCGGAAUCACUGGGCGUAAAGGGCGCGUAGGCGGUUUGUUAAGUCAGGUGUGAAAGUUUUCAGCUUAAAUGGCAAAGUGCACUUGAAACUAACUUACUUGAGUACUGGAGAGGUAAGCGGAAUUCCUAGUGUAGCGGUGAAAUGCGUAGAUAUUAGGAAGAACACCGGUGGCGAAGGCGGCUUACUGGACAGAGACUGACGCUGAGGCGCGAAAGCGUGGGGAGCGAACAGGAUUAGAUACCCGAGUAGUCC